AGCCUCUGGCUUCUCUUCAAUUGUCGAAUAAAUUUUUCGCCUUUUACUAAAGAUUUCAAUGGAGAGUAGCACUCUAAUGAGUCUAAACAGAAUUUUUUCGUAGUGAGUACGGGUAUAAAAA